GAAAUGCGAUACGUAAUGUGAAUUGCAAAUUCAGUGAAUCAUCGAGUCUUUGAACGCACAUUGCGCCCCCUGGUAUUCCGGGGGGCAUGCCUGUCCGAGCGUCAUUUCUGUCCUCAAGCACGGCUUGUGUGUUGGGCCCCGUCCUCCGAUCCCGGGGGACGGGCCCGAAAGGCAGCGGCGGCACCGCGUCCGGUCCUCGAGCGUAUGGGGCUUUGUCACCCGCUCUGUAGGCCCGGCCGGCGCUUGCCGAUCAACCCAAAUUUUUAUCCAGGUUGACCUCGGAUCAGGUAGGGAUACCCGCUGAACUUAAGC
rnacentral:misc_RNA from 1 species